CGAACGAGAAAGGAGACUUCGGUCUCUGAGUAAAGUGGCGAACGGGUGAGUAACGCGUGGGUAACCUGCCCUUAGGUUGGGGAUAACUCGGGGAAACCCGGGAUAAUACCGGAUAAGUCCUCGGAUUUGUUUUCGAGGGGAAAGCUUUCGAGUGCCUUUGGAGGGGCCCGCGUCCGAUUAGCUAGUAGGGGAGGUAAGAGCUUCCCUAGGCUUCGAUCGGUAGCCGGUCUGAGAGGACGGACGGCCACACUGGGACUGAGACACGGCCCAG
rnacentral:rRNA from 1 species